rnacentral:rRNA from 1 species
GUACCCCGAGGAAAAGAAAUCAACCGAGAUUCCCCCAGUAGCGGCGAGCGAACGGGGAGCAGCCCAGAGCCUGAAUCAGUGUGUGUGUUAGUGGAAGCGUCUGGAAAGGCGCGCGAUACAGGGUGACAGCCCCGUACACAAAAAUGCACAUAUUGUGAGCUCGAUGAGUAGGGCGGGACACGUGGUAUCCUGUCUGAAUAUGGGGGGACCAUCCUCCAAGGCU